GAGGUCAUGCUGGAGAAUGCACAGAAUCUACUCUCUGUGGGGCUUCCAGUUCCUAGAGAAAAUUUUAUCUUCUGUUUUCUGCAAGGGGAAUCACCAUGGCUACAAGAGCAAAAAAGCCCAAGGAGCGCCUGUCCAGAGGCAGAGACUAAUUUUGAAGUGAAGGAGAUGUCUACAAAGCUGAGCGUUUUGGUGGAAGGACCUGGCCCACAAAGAUACCUGAAUGAGGGUCUCUCUGACCUCAUUUUGAGAGAAAUCUGUAAUUCUAAUAUCAAGGGAAAUAAAAAUCUAAAGAGUAACAGUGAAUUUGAUGAAACUGCAGAGGAAUUCAGCCAAUAUUCAAUCCUAAAUCAGCAUAUGAAAUUGAGCUCAGGAAAUGAUUGUUGUCAGGAUAGUGAAUACAGGAAAUGCUUUCCUUCAGAACUAGAACUUAUUCAGUCGGCUCAGGAACCUCCUGAAAUGCCCUUGUAUCAAGGUAACUUAGGGGGAAUGGCCUUUGACUGGAGUUUAGACCUCAUUAGACAUCCAUAUAGUAAAAGUAUAGAGAUGGUUUCUGUGAGUAGUAAAGGUGGGCGACCUUUCUGUCAGAACUCUGACCUUGCUGCAUAUCAAAUGCACUGUAAAGAGAAACGUUAUGAAUGCAAACAAUGUGGAGAGGCUUUCACAGAGAGGGGCUCUCUUGCCAAACACCAGAGAAUCCACACUGGAGAGAAACCUUAUGAAUGUAAAGAAUGUGGAAAAGCUUUCACACA